UCAAACUUGGUCAUUUAGAGGAAGUAAAAGUCGUAACAAGGUUUCCGUAGGUGAACCUGCGGAAGGAUCAUUAACAAAAUGUCCUUAUGACAAGCUUUGCGCUGGGUGAGAGCCUGGCCAGAGUGCCAACCUUUUGUGAACGCAAGCAAAACUUUCGCUUCCGCAGUCGGCACCCUCCGGUGCUGUAAUCCUGCGGGUGGCAACCAAACCACACUUUUUUCCAAACCAGUCUGAAACCAUUCUGUAUCUGAAUGAAAAUCAAAACUUUCAACAACGGAUCUCUUGGUUCUCGCAUCGAUGAAGAACGCAGC
rnacentral:misc_RNA from 1 species